UUAAGCGACUAAGCGUACACGGUGGAUGCCCUGGCAGUCAGAGGCGAUGAAGGACGUGCUAAUCUGCGAAAAGCGUCGGUAAGGUGAUAUGAACCGUUAUAACCGGCGAUGUCCGAAUGGGGAAACCCAGUGUGAUUCGUCACACUAUCGUUAACUGAAUACAUAGGUUAACGAGGCGAACCGGGGGAACUGAAACAUCUAAGUACCCCGAGGAAAAGAAAUCAACCGAGAUUCCCCCAGUAGCGGCGAGCGAACGGGGAGCAGCCCAGAGUCUGAAUCAGCUUGUGUGUUAGUGGAACGGUCUGGAAAGUCCGACGGUACAGGGUGAUAGUCCCGUACACCAAAAUGCACAGGUUGUGAACUCGAAGAGUAGGGCGGGACACGUGGUAUCCUGUCUGAAUAUGGGGGGACCAUCCUCCAAGGCUAAAUACUCCUGACUGACCGAUAGUGAACCAGUACCGUGAGGGAAAGGCGAAAAGAACCCCGGCGAGGGGAGUGAAAAAGAACCUGAAACCGUGUACGUACAAGCAGUGGGAGCACCUUCGGGUGUGACUGCGUACCUUUUGUAUAAUGGGUCAGCGACUUAUAUUCUGUAGCAAGGUUAACCGUAUAGGGGAGCCGCAGGGAAACCGAGUCUUAACUGGGCGUUAAGUUGCAGGGUAUAGACCCGAAACCCGGUGAUCUAGCCAUGGGCAGGUUGAAGGUUGGGUAACACUAACUGGAGGACCGAACCGACUAAUGUUGAAAAAUUAGCGGAUGACUUGUGGCUGGGGGUGAAAGGCCAAUCAAACCGGGAGAUAGCUGGUUCUCCCCGAAAGCUAUUUAGGUAGCGCCUCGUGAAUUCAUCUUCGGGGGUAGAGCACUGUUUCGGCUAGGGGGUCAUCCCGACUUACCAACCCGAUGCAAACUACGAAUACCGAAGAAUGUUAUCACGGGAGACACACGGCGGGUGCUAACGUCCGUCGUGAAGAGGGAAACAACCCAGACCGCCAGCUAAGGUCCCAAAGUCAUGGUUAAGUGGGAAACGAUGUGGGAAGGCACAGACAGCCAGGAUGUUGGCUUAGAAGCAGCCAUCAUUUAAAGAAAGCGUAAUAGCUCACUGGUCGAGUCGGCCUGCGCGGAAGAUGUAACGGGGCUAAACCAUGCACCGAAGCUGCGGCAGCGACACUAUGUGUUGUUGGGUAGGGGAGCGUUCUGUAAGCCUGCGAAGGUAUGCUGUGAGGCAUGCUGGAGGUAUCAGAAGUGCGAAUGCUGACAUAAGUAACGAUAAAGCGGGUGAAAAGCCCGCUCGCCGGAAGACCAAGGGUUCCUGUCCAACGUUAAUCGGGGCAGGGUGAGUCGACCCCUAAGGCGAGGCCGAAAGGCGUAGUCGAUGGGAAACAGGUUAAUAUUCCUGUACUUGGUGUUACUGCGAAGGGGGGACGGAGAAGGCUAUGUUAGCCGGGCGACGGUUGUCCCGGUUUAAGCAUGUAGGCUGGUUAUCCAGGCAAAUCCGGAUAAUCAAGGCUGAGGUGUGAUGACGAGGCACUACGGUGCUGAAGUAACAAAUGCCCUGCUUCCAGGAAAAGCCUCUAAGCAUCAGGUAACAUCAAAUCGUACCCCAAACCGACACAGGUGGUCAGGUAGAGAAUACCAAGGCGCUUGAGAGAACUCGGGUGAAGGAACUAGGCAAAAUGGUGCCGUAACUUCGGGAGAAGGCACGCUGGUGUGUAGGUGAAGUCCCUGCGGAUGGAGCUGAGACCAGUCGAAGAUACCAGCUGGCUGCAACUGUUUAUUAAAAACACAGCACUGUGCAAACACGAAAGUGGACGUAUACGGUGUGACGCCUGCCCGGUGCCGGAAGGUUAAUUGAUGGGGUUAUCCGUAAGGAGAAGCUCUUGAUCGAAGCCCCGGUAAACGGCGGCCGUAACUAUAACGGUCCUAAGGUAGCGAAAUUCCUUGUCGGGUAAGUUCCGACCUGCACGAAUGGCGUAAUGAUGGCCAGGCUGUCUCCACCCGAGACUCAGUGAAAUUGAACUCGCUGUGAAGAUGCAGUGUACCCGCGGCAAGACGGAAAGACCCCGUGAACCUUUACUAUAGCUUGACACUGAACAUUGAGCCUUGAUGUGUAGGAUAGGUGGGAGGCUUUGAAGCGUGGACGCCAGUCUGCGUGGAGCCAACCUUGAAAUACCACCCUUUAAUGUUUGAUGUUCUAACGUUGGCCCCUGACCGGGGUUGCGGACAGUGUCUGGUGGGUAGUUUGACUGGGGCGGUCUCCUCCCAAAGCGUAACGGAGGAGCACGAAGGUUAGCUAAUCCUGGUCGGACAUCAGGAGGUUAGUGCAAUGGCAUAAGCUAGCUUGACUGCGAGCGUGACGGCGCGAGCAGGUGCGAAAGCAGGUCAUAGUGAUCCGGUGGUUCUGAAUGGAAGGGCCAUCGCUCAACGGAUAAAAGGUACUCCGGGGAUAACAGGCUGAUACCGCCCAAGAGUUCAUAUCGACGGCGGUGUUUGGCACCUCGAUGUCGGCUCAUCACAUCCUGGGGCUGAAGUAGGUCCCAAGGGUAUGGCUGUUCGCCAUUUAAAGUGGUACGCGAGCUGGGUUUAGAACGUCGUGAGACAGUUCGGUCCCUAUCUGCCGUGGGCGCUGGAGAAUUGAGGGGGGCUGCUCCUAGUACGAGAGGACCGGAGUGGACGCAUCACUGGUGUUCGGGUUGUCAUGCCAAUGGCACUGCCCGGUAGCUAAAUGCGGAAGAGAUAAGUGCUGAAAGCAUCUAAGCACGAAACUUGCCCCGAGAUGAGUUCUCCCUGAGACUUUAAGUCUCCUGAAGGAACGUUGAAGACGACGACGUUGAUAGGCCGGGUGUGUAAGCGCAGCGAUGCGUUGAGCUAACCGGUACUAAUGAGCCGUGAGGCUUAACCUU
rnacentral:rRNA from 1 species